rfam:TPA: Bos taurus chromosome 8, whole genome shotgun sequence.
UGGCUCAGACGGUAAAGCGUCUGUCUGCAAUGCAGAAGACCCGGGUUCAGUCCCUGG